rnacentral:rRNA from 1 species
AGAGUUUGAUCCUGGCUCAGGACGAACGCUGGCGGCGUGCCUAAUGCAUGCAAGUCGCACGGGGUCUUCGGACCCAGUGGCGCACGGCUGAGGAGCACGUGGCUGACCUACCCCGGCGUGGGGGACAACGGGCCGAAAGGCCCGCUAAUCCCGCAUACGACCACCGUCAACGGUGAGGAAAGCCGCAAGGCGCGCUGGGCAGGGGCCGCGUCCCAUUAGCUUGUUGGUGUGGUAAUGGCGCACCAAGGCGAUGAUGGGUUCCGGGUCUGAGAGGACGACCCGGCAGACUGGGACUGAGACACGGCCCAGACUCCUACGGGGGGCAGCAGCAAGGAAUUUUCGGCAAUGGGCGCAAGCCUGACCGAGCAACGCCGCGUGGAGGAUGACGGCUUUCGGGUUGUAAACUCCUUUUGGGUGGGACGAUAGUGACGGUACCACCCGAAUCAGGCCCGGCUAACUACGUGCCAGCAGCCGCGGUAAUACGUAGGGGUCGAGCGUUGUCCGGAUUUAUUGGGCGUAAAGGGUGGGCAGGUGGCCCGCGAUGUGCCGUGUGAAAGCGCCGUAGUUAUGACGGCGAGGUCGCGGUAGACACGCGGGCUUGAGGCAGUGAGGGGGCGGUGGAAUUCCCGGUGUAGUGGUGAAAUGCGUAGAUAUCGGGAGGAACACCAGUGGCGCAAGCGGCCGCCUGGCACUGACCUGACACUGAGCCACGACGGCGUGGGGAGCAAACGGGAUUAGAUACCCCAGUAGUCC